rnacentral:rRNA from 1 species
AGAGUUUGAUCCUGGCUCAGGACGAACGCUGGCGGCGUGCCUAAUACUUGCAAGUCGAGCGAAUCGACGGGAGCUUGCUCCCUUAGAUUAGCGGCGGACGGGUGAGUAACACGUGGGUAACCUGCCUAUAAGACUGGGAUAACUUCGGGAAACCGGAGCUAAUACCGGAUAAUUUCUUCCCUCGCAUGAGGGAAGAUGGAAAGACGGUUCUGCUGUCACUUAUAGAUGGACCCGCGGCGCAUUAGCUAGUUGGUGAGGUAAUGGCUCACCAAGGCGACGAUGCGUAGCCGACCUGAGAGGAUGACCAGCCACACUGGAGCUGAGACACGGUCCAGACUCCUACGGGAGGCAGCAGUGGGGAAUAUUGCACAAUGGGCGCAAGCCUGAUGCAGCCAUGCCGCGUGUGUGAAGAAGGCCUUCGGGUUGUAAAGCACUUUCAGCGGGGAGGAAGGCGGUGAGGUUAAUAACCUCAUCGAUUGACGUUACCCGCAGAAGAAGCACCGGCUAACUCCGUGCCAGCAGCCGCGGUAAUACGGAGGGUGCAAGCGUCAAUCGGAAUUACUGGGCGUAAAGCGCACGCAGGCGGUCUGUCAAGUCGGAUGUGAAAUCCCCGGGCUCAACCUGGGAACUGCGUUCGAAACUGGCAGGCUAGAGUCUUGUAGAGGGGGGUAGAAUUCCAGGUGUAGCGGUGAAAUGCGUAGAGAUCUGGAGGAAUACCGGUGGCGAAGGCGGCCCCCUGGACAAAGACUGACGCUCAGGUGCGAAAGCGUGGGGAGCAAACAGGAUUAGAUACCCUGGUAGUCCACGCCGUAAACGAUGUCGAUUUGGAGGUUGUGCCCUUGAGGCGUGGCUUCCGGAGCUAACGCGUUAAAUCGACCGCCUGGGGAGUACGGCCGCAAGGUUAAAACUCAAAUGAAUUGACGGGGGCCCGCACAAGCGGUGGAGCAUGUGGUUUAAUUCGAUGCAACGCGAAGAACCUUACCUGGUCUUGACAUCCACAGAACUUUCCAGAGAUGGAUUGGUGCCUUCGGGAACUGUGAGACAGGUGCUGCAUGGCUGUCGUCAGCUCGUGUUGUGAAAUGUUGGGUUAAGUCCCGCAACGAGCGCAACCCUUAUCCUUUGUUGCCAGCGGUCCGGCCGGGAACUCAAAGGAGACUGCCAGUGAUAAACUGGAGGAAGGUGGGGAUGACGUCAAGUCAUCAUGGCCCUUACGACCAGGGCUACACACGUGCUACAAUGGCAUAUACAAAGAGGAGCGACCUCGCGAGAGCAAGCGGACCUCAUAAAGUAUGUCGUAGUCCGGAUUGGAGUCUGCAACUCGACUCCAUGAAGUCGGAAUCGCUAGUAAUCGUAGAUCAGAAUGCUACGGUGAAUACGUAACCGGGCCUUGCACACACCGCCCGUCA